rnacentral:rRNA from 1 species
UACGUAGGGGGCUAGCGUUGUCCGGAAUCAUUGGGCGUAAAGCGCGCGUAGGCGGCCCGGUAAGUCCGUUGUGAAAGUCAAAGGCUCAACCUUUGAAAGCCGAUGGAUACUGCCGGGCUGGAGUCCGGAAGAGGCGAGUGGAAUUCCUGGUGUAGCGGUGGAAUGCGCAGAUAUCAGGAGGAACACCAAUAGCGAAGGCAGCUCGCUGGGACGGUACUGACGCUGAGGCGCGAAAGUGUGGGGAGCGAACAGG